GGAUGAACGCUAGCUACAGGCUUAACACAUGCAAGUCGAGGGGCAGCAUGAUUGAAGCUUGCUUCAAUUGAUGGCGACCGGCGCACGGGUGAGUAACACGUAUCCAAACCUUCCGUACACUCAGGGAUAGCCUUUCGAAAGAAAGAUUAAUACCUGAUGGUAUCUUAAGCACACAUGUAAUUAAGAUUUAAAAGAUUUAUCGGUGUACGAUGGGGAUGCGUUCCAUUAGGUAGUAGGCGGGGUAACGGCCCACCUAGCCUACGAUGGAUAGGGGGUUCUGAGAGGAAGGUCCCCCACAUUGGAACUGAGACACGGUCCAAACUCCUACGGGAGGCAGCAGUGAGGAAUAUUGGUCAAUGGACGAGAGUCUGAACCAGCCAAGUAGCGUGAAGGAUGAAGGUCCUACGGAUUGUAAACUUCUUUUAUAAGGGAAUAAAACCUCCCACGUGUGGGAGCUUGUAUGUACCUUAUGAAUAAGCAUCGGCUAACUCCGUG
rnacentral:rRNA from 1 species